rnacentral:rRNA from 1 species
UACGUAGGGUGCAAGCGUUGUCCGGAAUUAUUGGGCGUAAAGGGAGCGUAGGCGGCAAUUCAAGUCAGUUGUGAAAUCUCCGAGCUUAACUCGGAACGGUCAACUGAUACUGCUUUGCUAGAGUACAGAAGGGGCAAUCGGAAUUCUUGGUGUAGCGGUGAAAUGCGUAGAUAUCAAGAGGAACACCUGAGGUGAAGACGGGUUGCUGGGCUGACACUGACGCUGAGGCGCGAAAGCCAGGGGAGCAAACGGG